GGGCUGCAGUGGGGAAUUUUGGACAAUGGGGGAAACCCUGAUCCAGCAAUGCCGCGUGUGUGAAGAAGGCCUUCGGGUUGUAAAGCACUUUUGUCAGGAACGAAACGGUGAGGGUUAAUACCCUUUGCUAAUGACGGUACCUGAAGAAUAAGCACCGGCUAACUACGUGCCAGCAGCCGCGGUAAUACGUAGGGUGCAAGCGUUAAUCGGAAUUACUGGGCGUAAAGCGUGCGCAGGCGGUUGUGCAAGACAGAUGUGAAAUCCCCGGGCUCAACCUGGGAAUUGCAUUUGUGACUGCACGGCUAGAGUGUGUCAGAGGGGGGUAGAAUUCCACGUGUAGCAGUGAAAUGCGUAGAUAUGUGGAGGAAUACCGAUGGCGAAGGCAGCCCCCUGGGAUAACACUGACGCUCAUGCACGAAAGCGUGGGGAGCAAACAGGAUUAGAUACCCUUGUAGUC
rnacentral:rRNA from 1 species